GUAAAACAUUUUAUUUCAAGAGACUGCAGAUUCUGUACAGGAGAGCAUCUGUACAUAAGUUAUAAACAUCAGCAGUUUGCUGGUACAAAAUUAUAAAAGAACAUAUACAUUAUCUACACGUGCCAUGUGUUCCACACACCACUGUCUAUGUAGUGACCACAUACACAGCGUCCCAGUGGUAUUUCGCGUGCAGUUGUUAACAGGGCACAGACUCGUCCGUGGAGUGUAAGUGGUCGUUUGUACAACACGGGAUCAGGGGUAGGAUUGGAUGUAAGCUCAUGACAAAACAGAUUAGAGAGCAGGCUGGCGUACAGUCAUACGGGAGUUGGUGGUAUUUAAAACUGUGGGGAUCACCCGUUGAAGAACGCUCCUCUAGUUAUUGCAGUGUACACAGGAUUACCCAGCCACAUCUGGGCCAUAAUUACACAGGGACAGAACCAAAAGCAAAUAUCCCAAUUCUUACUCAUCCUCAUCUUCCAACUCAUUUCCACUAAUUCAAGUUCUGAAAAAUGGGGCAGUAGAACGUAUGGACGAGCACAUGUUAUGGAUAUUAAAAUGUUCUGUCCAUGGGGAAUUUACUAGGCAUGUGUGUGAUGAUGCCCGUCUCUAAUUCACACUUCAUAAACUAUCUACAAUAAUCAGGGCUCUUUGCUUGAUCAUGUAACAUGAGCGUGUUUGUAACCUUUACUUAAAGCUUCUUUUGAAGUAAACAUCACCCUUUUCUACUUGUCAGAUGGUCCACCGCCACCAGACAGUCACCUCGGGGUGUACUUCUCACAUCCAGAAAAGGCUUAAAAGGGAAGGUUAAACUCUGGGUCAUGUGACACGACCAACCAAUACACCAGGCCCCUAACAGUGAUGCAUAAUUCAUGGUGUUCCUGUACAUCUGGCCAAUCAAAUCCCAGCCUUGUCCUGCUUGGACCUUCACUGACAUAAGUGUAGAUGUGAAACCCUGGCAGAUAAGAUGGACAAAAAGGCUUCUUAACCACCGUUAUUACGCAUGACGUUGCGCGGUGACCCGCCAUAAGACGUCAUGCCUGGACACGCAGUGCCCCAAUCUUUUUUGCUCAGGACUCAAUCACUUCAGAAAUCAAUCACUUCAGACGCCGCAAUGAUUAUUGUACUGCGGGCCCCAUUAAAAGAAAACAACUGAAUACAUGUUAUUACACUCACAUGAACAACCACACAGAAAUACACCAAGUACAACAUCAACAACACUCAAGUCAUAUGCACCAUAUACAUACUCUCAAACAGAAAGAUCUGGGGGUUCCCAACCUUUUUCCACCAAGGCCCCCUAUUUUACACUCCCCAUGUUCAUUCCAUGUGUUGUGUUGUAUUGUUUUUUGUUGGGGUGUUGGGGAGCAGGGGGUGCUUCAACAGAAUUGUCAGCUGGGUUGCUAGCAACGGUUAACCAACAGAAACUUUCAGAUGUGUUGGUCAAAUGUACUGUGUUUGCAUUAAAGGGGAAUUUUGCCGAAUUCUUUGCAUUGUAAUAUCAGCAUAAAAAUGUCAACAUAUUUGAAGUAAAUGUUAUUUAUUUACCUCAAAUUACGUAAGGUCUAGGGCUCCCUAGGAAGCUCAGGCAUACACCCCCCCUGGUUGGGAAUCCCUGAUCUAAAUUAUGUUGCUAUGACAGCAGUGUAGAGGCAUCAGGGGUUACACACAUUUAGGUCCCUGAACUAGAGCCAAUAGAUUCUAAUGUAUUUAAUGAUACAGUACAUCGGGAGAACUUGACCGUAAAUUAUAUUUGCUGAAUAUAGAUUGUUUUAAAGGGUACAAUUAUUAAAUUAAUCUCAAUAUUUAUCUUUUAAUCAAACAGAGGAGUUUCCAAUCCAUUUCUUUAUAAAGAUAAAUGCAACUGCAAUAUGAAGUAACCAUAUAAAAACAUUUUCCAUACAAAAUCCACUGUCACCC
ensembl:lncRNA